CAUCGUCACGUCAUAAACUCCAUGAACACCCAUCAAUAUCAGCAUGACCAGCGUGGUGGAAAACAGCGCUAGAAUAUCUUCCAGAGAUGAACACUGUACACACACGCAGUGAGCUCCAAAGCCUCAGAUGUUCUCCCAAGGACUCAAAUUCAAUCAGGAAUGAGCUUCUUCCCAGCCAUUCCCAGGCGUUCUAUAGUUGCCAUGGUGCCAAGUGGCAGCUUAGGCAGAGCUCAAUGACCCGAGAGAAAGCUAUGUAUGUAGAGUUGGCAGUGGGCCAGGGGUUUCAUUGCUCAGGGGGAUAAUUCUGAAGUAAGGACUGAGUGAGCUGUACUCUUUGGGGAGAAAACUUCACCACAGAGUCUCAAUACAGAGAAGACGGCAGAGAGGCUUGGAUGACAUGAAGCUGCCUGCCUGCGCUUGGACAUGCUGACCUGACCACCACCACCUCCGACCACCACCUCUGCUGACCAUCUAGCUAUGAGCUUCCAGAUCCUCUCAUGACCGCGGCUGCACAUCUGGAAGCUUCAAGAAGUACUCAGACAGACUUGAUCUAGCUGAUCUAGCUACUGUUGUAGCCUGUAUUUUCCUCAACAUUUAAACAUUUAGAUUUUAUGGUAACGUCUUAAUAAUCUAAAUGUGUUUCUUGUAUGUGUUACUGCAACUCUGCUUUAAGCUGCCAUAGUACACAUGAAAGGAAAUUCAAAUAUACCAUCAUCAUCAUCAUCAUUCCUUGCUUGGAAAACACAUGUUGUUUUAAUAACAACAAUAAACUCGUAUUUCUGAUCAUUAUGUAGUUAUCCAGAUCAGUUCACAAAUGUACUGUGGCCAAGAUUCAAGUAAAGGUGUGUUGUGGAUGCACUGUCUACAGUUGGUCCCAGGCCUCCCACAGUGAAAAAAAUGAAAUUCACUACUGUCAUACUUCACUAUUCACUACUGCAGUUCAGCUUUAAGCUGCCAUAGUACACAUGAAAGGAAAUUAAAAUCUACCAUUAUCAUCAAAUUGCAAGCCGAAAUCUACCGCUCAGAUUAUUAAAAAAAAAAAAAAAAACAUUACUUUAAAAAACUUAAGCCUGUGUGAAAUUAACUAUUCAACACAGUACUGUAGUAAUGAGGAUUGUGCAGUAGGCUAUAGGCCCAAUACAUUAUCACCACAUAUUGGCUUUGCUUGAAUUGACCUGCCAUUGCAUUGUUGUUCUUCUCACACCAUUUCCAAAUUAUAUUUAAAAACCUGAGCUAGGACCUACACAUUAUGAUCACACUAGUCAUAGAUUCUUGUAUUACAUGUGAGGCACAACUGAGUGAGCAAACAUUUAAAUGAUGUUUGUAUUGGUUCACUGGGCUGAUGGUGCCUGUAUCUGAUGGUCAGCCUCAGUGGAGGGAGGGAGAGAGCAGCAGAGGGUCUGACUCCUACCGUCCCUACACUCUCCCUUCCUCUGCUGAGACUGACCAAAGAGGGGACACUGUCUUCCAGCAUCCAGCUGACGGCAAAACUCAAGUCACACCGCAUUAUUUCUACCCCUUUCUGCACAAAUUGAUGACUCUCUAUGACUAGAGAAAGUGAACUAUUCCUCGAUAUUAAAGGGAUACUUCAGGAUUUUGGCAAUGGAGCCCUUUAUCUACUUCCCCAGAUUCAGAUGAACUCAUGGAUACCAUUGUUAUGUCUCUGUGUGCAGUUUGAAGGAUGCUGCUAACUAGCAUUAGCGCAAUCGCUAACUAGUGUUAACGCAAUGACUAUGGUAACUGCUAGCAUGCUAGUAGAUACCAUAGACUUCAAGUCAUUGCGCUAACGCUAGCUAACAUUGGCUCACAAAACUCCCUCUCACUUAUUGCAUGCUGGAUGCAGCGACAUACAAAUGGUAUCCGUGAGUUUAUCUGACUCUGGGGAAGUACAUAAAGACUUAAUUGUCAAAUCCAGAAGUAGCCCUUUUAAAAAGACACAAGCUGCAAAUAAUCACAACUCAAGCCUUUCAAUACACUUCACUACUCAUUCAUUGCAGCUUCAGUGCUGGUUGAAGAGUGAGUGGAAGUAGUUUAAUGGCAUAUAAAAGUGUUGAAUAAAGUGUUGACAGUGCUGAA